CACACACACACACACACACACACACGCACACACACACACACCUCCUCCUCACUCCAUAACAAACAGCAAGAGUCUGGGCCCCCAAGGCUUCCUGUAUCCUACACACAGCGAGCAAACAAACACAAUCACAUUCAUUUAAUCCCACACACACACACACACACACACACACACACACACAGACACACACGAGCACACACACACAUGCACACACAACCACACAAAAGCAUUCAUUUGUGCACAGCCGUGCUGCAAACAUAUCCACGUACCCACACAAACACACAAGCGUUCAGGCAUGUGCAGACACACACACACACACACACACACACACACACACACACACACACACACACACACACACACACACACACUCUGAACGGUAACCACUGCUAUUUCUUCCCUCAUUAAGCAGCAAUAUUACGAGCUGACACUCUGAGAGGCCUGUGGGUUUGGACUCGGUGUCCCGAGGUUUCCACUGUUAAAGGGGGGAAACGUCUCCUUCUGUUACAGGAAGAGGGAAGAGAGGAAUCAGAGGAGAUAACCAGCCAUCCCGCAGAAGAUUUAAUGCCCGUAUAUUAGAGGUUACAUCAAGGAAACAGUGUGUCCACACGAGAUGAUUAAGGUCAUAGAGAAGUGGAGGAGUUUUCUUUUGGCAUGCUCAGAUGUUUUGUUUCUUAUCGGAAUUACAUAAUUUCUUUUCCGCUCUCAGAGGAGCAUUUUUCUGUAAUUAUGAAUUCAUCACCGUUUCUGCCCCGUGGAAGCAGAAGCGGUCAGUUUAACACGGUGUUUGUUUCAGCAGGAACUAGAUACCCAGUGUUGCCUGGUGAACUUUAAGGAUGGUGAUCGGCAGACCUCAGAUCAGUGUGCCUGCAGUCUUUCUGCUCGUGACUCUACAGUGUUGGCAGAUUUCUCACCUCAGAACAAAAAUGUGAAACUAUCCUUGAAGCUUUUCAUCUCCAUAAAAUAAAGAGAUAAAAUCAUCACACCAUCAGUCUGAUGUUGCUGUUAACAUCAUCAGAUUGAAGUGCAGCUGAUGAUUUAACCCGUUCAGGAUAUUAUAUUUAUAUAUAUCAUAUAUGAUUACUGAUAUGUGCAAACUUAUUUAAUUGUUUUGAUUUAUUCUGACGGUUCUGAUCUGAUUUGACUCGGUCAGCACUCAAUACAAACUCUGUCCUAUGAACACAUAUUAUCUAGGACGCUGACUGAAGGUUAUAUUUUUGCCCAUGUGUUUGUUGGUUUGUCAGCAGGAUUACACAAAAACAACUCGAUGUAUUUAUGAAACUUGGACGGAGUUUGAGUCUCAGAAUAAACCCCAUUACCUUCUGGAUAAAGGGACGGAGCUCAGAAUGUUUUGCCAAUUUUCUUUAACAUUCUGAGAUUCCAGAUUGUUUUUUUGACAUUUUAAAUUGUAUUUAAAUUUCUCAGGGAAUAAUGAAUCAUGAUGGUAAAAAUUGGGAGUGUUUAAGUGGCUGGUAUCUGUGAAGUGUGAACAGAACCAGCAGUGGAUCUGAGCAUGUUAAACAUCAUGUCUUUGUUUUGUCUCAGUGUCUCGGUGCAGAACCUGUCAACCUGCACGCGGGCCGCACCGUCUGUACAUCAUAUAGUUAUUAUCAGGCUCAGACUCGAUCCGUGUGAGCGCCGUUGAGUUGGGAUGGAGAGAAGUGGUUUCUGGGUAACCGUAGCUCGUGCAGGCCUGCGAACAGACCAAUGUGCAAAAACCUCCAAAAUGUGAAAUAUUUGUUGUGCAGAUCUGCGGCUGUGUGUGUCAAACAAACUGUGAUUAGUCGAGCAGACGGAGAUCAUGUGGUAUCACCGUUAGUGUGCCGACACCCACACGGGACUAAAGCAAACAACCAUAUGGAAAGUA